rnacentral:rRNA from 1 species
UGGGGGAUAUUGCACAAUGGGCGAAAGCCUGAUGCAGCGACGCCGCGUGGGGGAUGAAGGCCUUCGGGUUGUAAACUUCUUUUGCUCUGAACAAGGCAUGCUAAUGGGUGUGUUGAGUGUAGGGGUUGAUUAGCGCCGGCUAACUACGUGCCAGCAGCCGCGGUAAUACGUAGGGCGCGAGCGUUGUCCGGAAUUAUUGGGCGUAAAGGGCUUGUAGGUGGCUGGUUGCGUCUGUCGUGAAAGCUCAUGGCUUAACUGUGGGUUUGCGGUGGGUACGGGCUGGCUUGAGUGCAGUAGGGGAGGCUGGAAUUCCUGGUGUAUCGGUGGAAUGCGCAGAUAUCAGGAGGAAUACCGGUGGCGAAGGCGGGUCUCUGGGCUGUUACUGACACUGAGGAGCGAAAGCAUGGGGAGCGAACAGG